AUCAGAUCUUGCUACUUACGCUCUGCUCUUGCAUGCACGGCCAAUUCGCUCUCUCCCCAGUCAGCUGGCUUCUUUGGUUCUUUCCUAUGUCUGUCUGUGCCCCAGCACCAACACAAUCAAAGGCGAGUUGUGGUUGGGUUCGAGUAGCUACUGUCGGCGUCUCUUGCCGAGGUGUAUUUCUUGAACUGUAAGUUUUGCAGCAUACCGAUGCGAGGCAGUGCUAGAUCACAUGCAUUUAUGACCAUCUUCCUAUUAUAAGUAUGAUCCUUAUUUUGUUU